GCAUAUCAAUAAGCGGAGGAAAAGAAACUAACAAGGAUUCCCCUAGUAACUGCGAGUGAAGCGGGAAAAGCUCAAAUUUAAAAUCUGGUGGUCUCUGGCCAUCCGAGUUGUAAUCUAGAGAAGUGUUACCCGCGUCGGACCGUGUAUAAGUCUCCUGGAAUGGAGCGUCAUAGAGGGUGAGAAUCCCGUCUUUGACACGGACUACCGAGGCUUUGUGGUAUGCUCUCAAAGAGUCGAGUUGUUUGGGAAUGCAGCUCAAAAUGGGUGGUAAAUUCCAUCUAAAGCUAAAUAUUGGCGAGAGACCGAUAGCGAACAAGUACCGUGAGGGAAAGAUGAAAAGAACUUUGGAAAGAGAGUUAAACAGUACGUGAAAUUGCUGAAAGGGAAACGCUUGAAGUCAGUCGCGUUGGCCGGGAAUCAGCCUUGCUUUUGCUUGGUGUACUUUCUGGUUGACGGGCCAGCAUCAGUUUUGACCGGUGGAAAAAGUUCAGGGGAAUGUGGCAUCUUCGGGUGUGUUAUAGCCCUUGUUCGUAUACAUCGGUUGGGACUGAGGAACUCAGCACGCCGCAAGGCCGGGUCUUUGACCACGUUCGUGCUUAGGAUGCUGGCAUAAUGGCUUUAAUCGACCCGUCUUGAAACACGGACCAAGGAGUCUAACAUGCCUGCGAGUGUUUGGGUGGAAAACCCGAGCGCGUAAUGAAAGUGAAAGUUGAGAUCCUUGUCAUGGGGAGCAUCGACGCCCGGACCUGACGUUUUCUGACGGCCCUGCGGUAGAGCAUGUAUGUUGGGACCCGAAAGAUGGUGAACUAUGCCUGAAUAGGGUGAAGCCAGAGGAAACUCUGGUGGAGGCUCGUAGCGAUUCUGACGUGCAAAUCGAUCGUCAAAUUUGGGUAUAGGGGGCGAAAGACUAAUCGAACCAUCUAGUAGCUGGUUCCUGCCGAUU
rnacentral:rRNA from 1 species